UGCAGUCGACGGUAGCACAGAGGAGCUUGCUCCUUGGGUGACGAGUGGCGGACGGGUGAGUAAUGUCUGGGAAACUGCCCGAUGGAGGGGGAUAACUACUGGAAACGGUAGCUAAUACCGCAUAACGUCGCAAGACCAAAGAGGGGGACCUUCGGGCCUCUUGCCAUCGGAUGUGCCCAGAUGGGAUUAGCUAGUAGGUGGGGUAACGGCUCACCUAGGCGACGAUCCCUAGCUGGUCUGAGAGGAUGACCAGCCACACUGGAACUGAGACACGGUCCAGACUCCUACGGGAGGCAGCAGUGGGGAAUAUUGCACAAUGGGCGCAAGCCUGAUGCAGCCAUGCCGCGUGUAUGAAGAAGGCCUUCGGGUUGUAAAGUACUUUCAGCGAGGAGGAAGGUGUUGUGGUUAAUAACCGCAGCGAUUGACGUUACUCGCAGAAGAAGCACCGGCUAACUCCGUGCCAGCAGCCGCGGUAAUACGGAGGGUGCAAGCGUUAAUCGGAAUUACUGGGCGUAAA
rnacentral:rRNA from 1 species